rnacentral:rRNA from 1 species
ACGGGGGGUGCAAGCGUUAUUCGGAUUCAUUGGGCGUAAAGGGCGCGUAGGCGGCUAAGUCAGUCUGGUGUGAAAACGCUACCGCUUAACGGAGCGAUGGCAUUGGAUACUGCUUAGCUUGAGGGCAUGAGAGGUGAGCGGAAUACCUGGUGUAGCGGUGGAAUGCGUAGAGAUCAGGUAGAACAUCGGUGGCGAAGGCGACUCACUGGCAUGCAUCUGACGCUGAGGCGCGAAAGCGUGGGGAGCAAACGG